UCUGUGACUUCAACAGCGGUGUUCUUAAUGUACAUUUAAAAGUAUAAUUAGUAGUUAAGAAUAGGGGUUGCGCUCGUUUUUCGAAUCCAAUCGACCACUUCACAGCACGAGCUGACGGCAGCCAUGCAACACCUGUAUCCACAUAAAUUUUAUUAAUCGUAAUAAAACGCAUAGAUAUACAAAAGCUGGUAAGAUUUUUUGCGGAGUAUCUAAUUAACAUACAUGCUCCACCGCUCGUAAAUGCUCCCGUCAAUCUUCUUGAGUUUCAACCUUGCGAUCGUAGUCCCCAGGCGGAAUAUUUAACGCGUUAGCUUUGGUAACUGAAAUUUUUAAAAUCCAAUUCAUAAUAUUCAUCGUUCGCAGUAUGGACUAC
rnacentral:misc_RNA from 1 species